AUACGGAGGGUGCAAGCGUUAUUCGGAAUCACUGGGCGUAAAGGACGCGUAGGCGGGUUGGCAAGUCAGAUGUGAAAUCCUACAGCUUAACUGUAGAACUGCAUUUGAAACUGCUAACCUAGAGUAUGGGAGGGGGAGAUGGAAUUAAUGGUGUAGGGGUAAAAUCCGUAGAUAUCACUAGGAAUACCGAAAGCGAAGGCGAUCUCCUGGAACAUAACUGACGCUAAGGCGUGAAAGCGUGGGGAGCAAACAGGAUUAGAAACCCUAGUAGUCC
rnacentral:rRNA from 1 species